rnacentral:misc_RNA from 1 species
GCCGCGGCCUCCCGGAUGCGCGAGGAGGAGCUCCGCGUCCGCCAGCGCCAGGCGGAAGAACAGUCCCGCCUCUCCCUCCGCGACUGCAUCUACGCUCUGGAACCCGACGAUGAUGACGCUGAUGACAUUGCCACUGUCGAUGGCGCCCUCGGCUUCGAUCUCACCCCACUCUACCGCGCCUACCACAUCCACCAGACCCUCGGGCAGCAGGAGUGGUUCAAGAAGCAUUACUUCGAGAACCGGAAGCUGCAGCUCACCUCCG